rnacentral:lncRNA from 1 species
UAACAAUGAAAUUCUACAUAGCUUGACUCAAACAAACUAUCUAGAACUUAACAUCACUCCUUAUCAACUUUCAAAUAAAUCAGAAAAUGUGUCAAGCCUAGAAAACUUCAGAUAUCAAGCAAAAGGGGAAAAUUUUCAAUGGAAUUGUAAAACUCUCAGUCGUUCUCUUUUCUGGAGUUUUUUCACUUGAAGUUCUAAGAUCUCUCUAUCUUUCCAUCCUAUGCUGCCCUGAAUAGCCUGAUUAGUUGCUUUGAUAGCUGAAUAACUCAUAAUUUUAUUUGACUUGAGGCCUUCUUCUAUAAUGCCUCCCCUCUUCACUACUUCGUUGAAUGACUUCCCCACAGCUGAGACCAGAUGGCCAUAGUAGGUAGGUUUUAAAGCCUGUAUGAAGUAAUCCACCAUCUCACUUUCCUUUAUUUAGGGGUCUACUCUUGCUGCUUGCUCCCUUCAUCGGAAACCAUAUUCCCCGAAACUUUCGUUGUGCUUUUUCUCUAGUUUAGUCAAGGACAGUUUAUCUGGAAUAAAAUCAAGAUUGUAUUGGAAGUGACAAGUAAAUGCUUGAGCCAUAUCAUUCCAUGUACCAUCUUCCAUGGUCUUGGCAGGUAUACCAUUCCAAAGAUGAUCCACUCAAACUCUGACUGAAGUAAGCCAUUAACAAUUCAUCCUUUCCUCCCUCUCCCCUCAUCUUGCAACAGAAACCCCUCAAAUGUUCUACUAGAUCACCGUGCCCGUUGUAUAUAUCAAACUUGGGCAUCUUGAAACCUACAGGCAAUUGUAUAUUCGGGAAGAGACAUAGGUCCUUGUAGGCCAUGCUUACUUGACCUCCCAAUCCCUGCAUGUCCCUGAAUG